CCUGUUGAACCUGGCUUCUCACCUGGGCCUCCUGCUUCUCUGUGCGGCUUCUCUGCCGUCUUGAGUAUCUUAGCUGCAUGGCUGUGUGACUCCAAGCAAGGACAAUCGAAGGCCAACAAGAGGGGAAGGUGAGCCACCAGUGAGAUGCUCAGCUCCUUGGUGCUGAUCUGGACUUGGCAAGGAAUGAUAACGGAGGAGUGUGUGAAUGUUGAGAGAAGGCUGCUCCACACGGCAGCCAGGAGGCCUGUCCAGUGUGCACAUCUGAUCCUGAUGCCGUGUGGUGCUCACUCCUCCUGGCUUCUUCUUGCUUUAAGGAAAGUGCUUCUGUAGGGAGGCCGGCUCCCAGCAUCUAAUGAGUUUCCCCGCCCAGCCGCUGCAGUUCAAGGUGGAAAGAGUAAGAUGUGAUCCCUGUAAACCAGCUGGUAGAUGAAUCAUCACUGGAUGAGAAGCUCAGCACUGGAAGAGAUAAGGAACAAUGCAGGAAAACAAUUCAAGCUCACAGGCAGUGCAUUGGUAAUUGCCAAACAAGCACAGUGGAUGUCAAAUGCAUCGGGUUCAAAGACAGAGCACUGUGGGGUGGGAAUAUAAAAGCCAUAUAUGGACAAACACA
rnacentral:lncRNA from 1 species